UACGUAGGGUGCAAGCGUUAAUCGGAAUUACUGGGCGUAAAGCGUGCGCAGGCGGGUAAUUAAGUCAGUGGUGAAAUCUUCAAGCUUAACUUGGAAACUGCCAUUGAUACUAUUUAUCUUGAAUGUUCUGGAGGUCAGCGGAAUAUGUCAUGUAGCGGUGAAAUGCUUAGAUAUGACAUAGAACACCUAUUGCGAAGGCAGCUGACUACGGAAAUAUUGACGCUGAGGCACGAAAGCGUGGGGAUCAAACAGG
rnacentral:rRNA from 1 species